GCGCUCAAUCAACCGAUUCCGCAUACGGCAGAGAGACGAACCAAAUCCGUCGAAAUUUGCACGGGAAUAAAUUCCUAUUUUUUUUAUAAGUUACUCGUAUUUUUGCAUUGUUUUAGUUAUUUGAUUGUAAAGUAAUCAUGGCAUUGAAUCCACAGUACGAGGAUAUCGGUAAAGGAUUUGUGCAACAAUAUUAUGCGACUUUCGACGAUCCCAACCUCAGAGCGAAUGUGGCCAAUUUUUAUAGUGCAACAGAUUCAUUUAUGUCCUUUGAAGGAGUGCAAUUACAAGGAGCUCCUAAAAUAAUGGAAAAGUUAUCUAGCUUAUCGUUCCAGAAAAUAUCGCGAGUUAUAACAGCCAUUGACUCGCAACCUAUGUUUGAUGGCGGUGUAUUAAUCAACGUAUUAGGAAGGCUUAAGACCGAUGAUGAUCAGCCACAUGCGUACAUUCAGACAUUUGUUCUUAAACCAAUAGGUGGUAGUUUCUUCGUACAACAUGAUAUUUUCAGACUGUCACUGCACGAUGUAUAGUACCGCGUACAAUAAGCAACGCGUAAACUGCCCACGACUCGCGCCCGACAGUGAACGCUAAAGCUACUGCUCGUUAAAUAGAAGAAAAUUUUUAAUAAACUAUGCUAUUUUGCUAACUUAUGUUACCUUAAUUAACGAUAACAAAAUGAAAAGAAAAAAAAAAACGAAUAAAAUGGCAACAAUUUAGGAUAAUAAAUUUGACUGACUAGUGACUGUGUCGCGCGUAAAGUCGCCAGCUUUGCCGUCAACAUCGCCUUUGCCGUCGCUGCCGAUACGGCAUGAAGUGUGAUUAUUACAUGAAGCCUAUUCAGCGUUUUCGGUGUUCAAUCAACCAUAAACGAAAUCGUAUAGGAUACGAGCUGAUGGUCACGAACAUGAGUUUUACUGUGAUGAGGAUCCACCUCAUGCUUUCUCGCAAGUCUUCGUUUUGAGGCCACUCGGCGGUACAUUUUUCUGUGCACAUGACAUCUUUCGUUUAAAUAUACACGACACAGCCUAGUUGUGUUAACAUUUUGAUUACAUUUAUAAUGAUAAUGAUAUAAAUAUUAAAAAAAUGAAGUGAUUGUAAUAACGUUAGAAA